ACAAAUACUUCAUCGGAGGUAAUACAUGACGUUUACUCUGACAUUAUUGAACGGUAAGUGUAUUAAAAAAUGCGUCAGAUACCAAAACGACAAUCAAACUUAUAACAAACUAGACUAACAAAACCAUAGCAAAAACGAAAAACGACAAAAGGAUAAACAAUAGUAUACAAAUUACUAUAUACAAAAGUAAAGACUGAACAACAAAAUCGGGAAUGAUCUAAGGUGCUCUGGAACAGUUAUCAUAUCCUGUUUCACACGUGGUUCCGUCGUUUUACUCAUGGUAAGAACACAUUCGUUGAUAAAAGAGGGGCGAAAGAUACUAAUGCGGCAGUCAAACUCGGAUCGAAAACAAACUGACAACGCCAUGGCUAAAAAUGAAAAAUACAAACAGACAAAUAAUAGUACACUGGACACAACAUAGAAAACAAAA
rnacentral:lncRNA from 1 species